rnacentral:rRNA from 1 species
GACGAACCGUGCGAACGUUGUUCGGAAUCACUGGGCUUAAAGGGCGCGUAGGCGGGCCGCCAAGUCCGCGGUGAAAUCCCCCGGCUCAACCGGGGAACUGCCGCGGAUACUGGAGGUCUCGAGGGGGGUAGGGGCAUGCGGAACUGCGGGUGGAGCGGUGAAAUGCGUUGAUAUCCGCAGGAACUCCGGUGGCGAAGGCGGCGUGCUGGACCCUUUCGGACGCUGAGGCGCGAAAGCCAGGGGAGCGAACGGG